GAUGAACGCUGGCGGCGUGCCUAAUACAUGCAAGUCGAGCGAACAGAUAAGGAGCUUGCUCCUUUGAAGUUAGCGGCGGACGGGUGAGUAACACGUGGGUAACCUACCUAUAAGACUGGGAUAACUUCGGGAAACCGGAGCUAAUACCGGAUAACAUUUAGAACCGCAUGGUCCUAAAGUGAAAGAUGGUUUUGCUAUCACUUAUAGAUGGACCCGCGCCGUAUUAGCUAGUUGGUAAGGUAACGGCUUACCAAGGCGACGAUACGUAGCCGACCUGAGAGGGUGAUCGGCCACACUGGAACUGAGACACGGUCCAGACUCCUACGGGAGGCAGCAGUAGGGAAUCUUCCGCAAUGGGCGAAAGCCUGACGGAGCAACGCCGCGUGAGUGAUGAAGGGUUUCGGCUCGUAAAACUCUGUUAUUAGGGAAGAACAAAUGUGUAAGUAACUGUGCACAUCUUGACGGUACCUAAUCAGAAAGCCACGGCUAACUACGUGCCAGCAGCCGCGGUAAUACGUAGGUGGCAAGCGUUAUCCGGAAUUAUUGGGCGUAAAGCGCGCGUAGGCGGUUUCUUAAGUCUGAUGUGAAAGCCCACGGCUCAACCGUGGAGGGUCAUUGGAAACUGGGAAACUUGAGUGCAGAAGAGGAAAGUGGAAUUCCAUGUGUAGCGGUGAAAUGCGCAGAGAUAUGGAGGAACACCAGUGGCGAAGGCGACUUUCUGGUCUGUAACUGACGCUGAUGUGCGAAAGCGUGGGGAUCAAACAGGAUUAGAUACCCUGGUAGUCCACGCCGUAAACGAUGAGUGCUAAGUGUUAGGGGGUUUCCGCCCCUUAGUGCUGCAGCUAACGCAUUAAGCACUCCGCCUGGGGAGUACGACCGUAAGGUUGAAACUCAAAGGAAUUGACGGGGACCCGCACAAGCGGUGGAGCAUGUGGUUUAAUUCGAAGCAACGCGAAGAACCUUACCAAAUCUUGACAUCCUUUGAAAACUCUAGAGAUAGAGCCUUCCCCUUCGGGGGACAAAGUGACAGGUGGUGCAUGGUUGUCGUCAGCUCGUGUCGUGAGAUGUUGGGUUAAGUCCCGCAACGAGCGCAACCCUUAAGCUUAGUUGCCAUCAUUAAGUUGGGCACUCUAGGUUGACUGCCGGUGACAAACCGGAGGAAGGUGGGGAUGACGUCAAAUCAUCAUGCCCCUUAUGAUUUGGGCUACACACGUGCUACAAUGGACAAUACAAAGGGCAGCUAAACCGCGAGGUCAUGCAAAUCCCAUAAAGUUGUUCUCAGUUCGGAUUGUAGUCUGCAACUCGACUACAUGAAGCUGGAAUCGCUAGUAAUCGUAGAUCAGCAUGCUACGGUGAAUACGUUCCCGGGUCU
rnacentral:rRNA from 1 species